rnacentral:lncRNA from 1 species
UCCUCACCCCCCAACCACUAUCACUGUCUGCUGGGCAUAGGAAAAUAAUAAUAUUAAUGAUAAAUGAAUGAAAACAAACCAAAAAAACAUAAAGAACUAAUAAAUAAAAUAGAGAAUAACUAUUAUGAGCCUUGAAGUUCUGGGUUUUAUUAUUAUUAUUAUUAUUAUUUUGGUUGCAUGAGAGCAGGAUGUCAGGUGGGGAACAAGAGGGAGCCUUGGUGUUCCCAUCCAUGCCUUAAGCUCAUGUCUUGAACUUACUUUCUCACUCUCUCUUAUUAUGAUACAAAGUUAGGAUUGCUGUCUCAAAGCCCCUACACUGCCUGCCUGCCUGCCUGUGUGCCUGUCAAUUAUACUGCAUUCAAUUGGCUGCCCCCUAC